UGCUAUGGCUCAGUUGGUAGAGCGUCGCCUUGGUAAGGCGGAGGUCACGGGUCCGACUCCCGUUAGCA
rnacentral:tRNA from 1 species